UACGUAGGGUGCAAGCGUUGUCCGGAAUCACUGGGCGUAAAGGGCGCGUAGGCGGCCUGAUAAGUAGGGGGUGAAAUCCUGCGGCUUAACCGCAGGGCUGCCUUCUAAACUGUCAGGCUCGAGCACAGUAGAGGCAGGUGGAAUUCCCGGUGUAGCGGUGGAAUGCGUAGAGAUCCGGAAGAACACCGGUGGCGAAGGCGGCCUGCUGGGCAGUAGCUGGACGCUGAAGCGCGACAGCGUGGGGAGCAAACAGGG
rnacentral:rRNA from 1 species